GUGGCAGUAGCUCAGUGGUAGAGCUCUCGCCUCGCAUACGGGGAGAGCUGGGUUCGAUUCCGGGCUGCUUCC
rnacentral:tRNA from 1 species